rnacentral:rRNA from 1 species
UACGUAGGCAGCGAGCGUUGUUCGGAGUUACUGGGCGUAAAGAGUGCGUAGGCGGUUUUCUAAGUUUGGUGUGAAAUCUCCCGGCUUAACUGGGAGGGUGCGCCGAAGACUGGAAGGCUUGAGUUUGGGAGAGGGACGCGGAAUUCCAGGUGUAGCGGUGAAAUGCGUAGAUAUCUGGAGGAACACCGGUGGCGAAGGCGGCGUCCUGGACCAACACUGACACUGAUGAGCGAAAGCCAGGGGAGCAAACGGG